GACGAACGCUGGCGGCGUGCUUAACACAUGCAAGUCGAACGCCGAAGCUUGGUGCUUGCACUGGGUGGAUGAGUGGCGAACGGGUGAGUAAUAAGUGAGUAACCUGCCCUUGACUCUGGGAUAAGCCUGGGAAACUGGGUCUAAUACUGGAUACGACAUGUCACCGCAUGGUGGUGUGUGGAAAGGGUUUUACUGGUUUUGGAUGGGCUCACGGCCUAUCAGCUUGUUGGUGGGGUAAUGGCUCACCAAGGCGACGACGGGUAGCCGGCCUGAGAGGGUGACCGGCCACACUGGGACUGAGACACGGCCCAGACUCCUACGGGAGGCAGCAGUGGGGAAUAUUGCACAAUGGGCGGAAGCCUGAUGCAGCGACGCCGCGUGAGGGAUGACGGCCUUCGGGUUGUAAACCUCUUUCAGCACGGAAGAAGCGAAAGUGACGGUACGUGCAGAAGAAGCGCCGGCUAACUACGUG
rnacentral:rRNA from 1 species